GGUUUAGCAAAAUGUGACUUAACUCUGGUGCCAGAAACAAUGUCAACACCAUUUUUGGCAUGGUGAAGAGACUGAAGCAUAGUAAUAAGAGCAGAACGAGCAUCACCUUCUUCAUAUACACUAGUACAAUAAUUAUGCAUUUCAAUUACUCCCUUAUGGUCCAUUUCCGCAGCUUCAUUCAUUAUACCUUUGAACCAUACUCCCUUAUGGUCCAUUUCAGCAGCUUCAUUCAUUAUACCUUUAAACCAAUCAAAUGAACCUUGUUCUCUAGUAACCCAAUAGAAAUAUGCCCUCCUUGUAUUAAAGUUAUUUCUUCCACUUGCUGAACCUGAUUUAUUACCCUUAUUUUUUGCAAUAUUGGGGCUAGAAUUUGGUGCCAUAUUAUUAUUGUGUCCAU
rnacentral:lncRNA from 1 species